ensembl:lncRNA
CCGUGACAUAAACAUGUUGUCCGUCAGGGCUCUCCUCCCCGUCCAAACGCACCGAGGCAGACACCAUAACAUCGUUACACCUCACCACAUGUUCAUAGCCGGGAUCUCCUCCGCAUCGGAGCACUCUCACUUAUUCUAAGAGCUUUUAUUUUUCUACAGAUAUUUUAAUGUUGUACAAUAGAUUGCAGGUAGACAUUUGGACUAUUUCACCCGGGCCUCGUCACGGACUUAUUCACCAAAUUUCUGCCAACUUCAGCGUUCAUUGUCAGCAAAGAUGUGAGUGCGUGGAGUUGUGCUCGGAGAGGUCUGAUGCAAGCGGCUGAAACACCAAACAGAUAGCGCUGUUAGGGCUGCUUUUAGACCCCUUCUCCACACACUCUUUCUACUCCAUCGCUCUGCGUUAACCCGUUCUCCGUCGCUCCUCUGCUGCUAUAGGCCUAUGUUAUGAGAU